AUUGAACGCUGGCGGCAUGCUUUACACAUGCAAGUCGAACGGUAACAGGCCUUCGGGUGCUGACGAGUGGCGAACGGGUGAGUAAUGCAUCGGAACGUGCCCAGAGUUGGGGGAUAACGCAGCGAAAGCUGUGCUAAUACCGCAUGUGAUCUGAGGAUGAAAGCGGGGGACCAGGCAGCAAUGUUUGGCCUCGCGCCUUUGGAGCGGCCGAUGUCAGAUUAGGUAGUUGGUGGGGUAAAGGCCUACCAAGCCGACGAUCUGUAGCUGGUCUGAGAGGACGACCAGCCACACUGGGACUGAGACACGGCCCAGACUCCUACGGGAGGCAGCAGUGGGGAAUUUUGGACAAUGGGCGCAAGCCUGAUCCAGCAAUGCCGCGUGCGGGAAGAAGGCCUUCGGGUUGUAAACCGCUUUUGUACGGAACGAAAAGGCUCUGGCUAAUACCUGGGGCUGAUGACGGUACCGUAAGAAUAAGCACCGGCUAACUACGUG
rnacentral:rRNA from 1 species